AAGGGAGACCUAAUUCAGGUAUGGGACGAAAAAAAAGUAGUCGCUACCAAGAAUCAAUCCCAAAAGGUCGGAGCGAGGCGAAAUUGGCUUUCAAACUAGGUUCUGGGUUCACACAAGACCUGAAUCAGGAACAAGGGCUAUUAGCUCAGGUGGUUAGAGCGCACCCCUGAUAAGGGUGAGGUCCCUGGUUCGAGUCCAGGAUGGCCCACCUGCACAGGUGGCAAAAACAAAGAAAAAAAGCUCCGAAUCAGCACCUUAUCUUACUUAUACAGUAAGAGAGAAUGCUGGCUCUGAGUUCAGAGUUCAGAGGAACCUUGAAAACUGCAUAGAGCUAGGUGAAAAAGCCAAAAAAGAAGACCGCAA
rnacentral:tRNA from 1 species